GUAGGGUGCGAGCGUUAUCCGGGAAUCAUUGGGGCGUAAAGAGCUCGUAGGCGGUUCAGCAAGUCGGCUGUGAAAUUCCGAGGGCUCAACCUCGGAACUGCAGUCGAUACUGCUGUGACUCGAGUCCGGUAGAGGAGAAUGGAAUUCCCGGUGUAGCGGUGAAAUGCGCAGAUAUCGGGAGGAACACCAGUAGCGAAGGCGGUUCUCUGGGCCGGCACUGACGCUGAGGAGCGAAAGCGUGGGUAGCAAACAGGAUUAGAUACCCUGGUAGCCCACGCCGUAAACGUUGGAUACUAGGUGUGGCGUUCCGACCAACGGUCGCCGUGCCGAAGCUAACGCAUUAAGUAUCCCGCCUGGGGAGUACGGCCGCAAGGCUA
rnacentral:rRNA from 1 species